GCUUUGCUAGGGCUUGGGAAACUGGGAUCCUGACAUCCGCCUGGGAUCCCACCUUGCCCGCUUCCAGACAGAGAGAGAGCUGUGCCACGUGGGGCCCCACAGCGACCAGCCCAUGCUCCUGUGCAUCCGCAAAGCAUCUCCCAAGGGCCUCCUUCGGGAGCCCAUUUGAGCUUCAUCUGCGCCUUCGACACCCAUCCUGCUCAGUUCUGCCAUUCAGUGGCUAUGUGUGUGCCUCAGCUUCCUCAGCUGUUAAGUGGCGAUCAGAUGGGAUCUG
rnacentral:lncRNA from 1 species